UACUGUCUUUUCUGGGUGAAUAGUUCGAGC
rnacentral:piRNA from 1 species